rnacentral:rRNA from 1 species
GAUGAACGCUAGCGGCAGGCCUAAUACAUGCAAGUCGAACGGUAAAUAUUGUAGCAAUACAAUAUGAGAGUGACGCACGGGUGCGUAACACGUAUGCAACCUACCCUUUACAGGGGUAUAGCUCGGGGAAACUCGAAUUAACACCCCAUGAUAUAAUUGAAUGGCAUCAUUGAUUAUUAAAUCUGCGGAGGUAAAGGAUGGGCAUGCGUCUGAUUAGCUAGUUGGUAGUGUAACGGACUACCAAGGCGAUGAUCAGUAGGGGAACUGAGAGGUUGAUCCCCCACACUGGCACUGAGAUACGGGCCAGACUCCUACGGGAGGCAGCAGUAGGGAAUAUUGGUCAAUGGGUGAGAGCCUGAACCAGCCAUGCCGCGUGCAGGAAGACGGCCUUCUGGGUUGUAAAACUGCUUUUUGCCAGGGGCUAAAAUGCCCAUGCGUGGGAAAUUGAAAGUACCUGGUGAAUAAGCCACGGCUAACUACGUGCCAGCAGCCGCGGUAAUACGUAGGUGGCAAGCGUUGUCCGGAUUUAUUGGGUUUAAAAGGGUGCGUAGGCGGCUCUGUAAGUCAGUGCUGAAAUAUCCCGGCUUAACUGGGAGGGUGGCAUUGAUACUGUGGAGCUAGAGUACAGAUGAGGUAGGCGGAAUUGACGGUGUAGCGGUGAAAAUGCUUAGAUAU